AGUAAGGCCAAACUCUGCACUGUUUCCUUGUCUGUAGCCAAGUCUAUGUGCCUUUGAGUUGGCCACCUGGGUGAGGACCUCCU
rfam:Homo sapiens chromosome 4, GRCh38 reference primary assembly.